ACGGUCUCCCCGGAAGAUGAGCCGGGUACCUAGGAAGGAUGUCUUCCCGACGAUGUCCUCCCAGCAGGAUUCUCUCCCCGGAGGACGCCUGCCCCGCAGUGAAUCCCCUCUUCCAGGAAUUCCAGGAUUUCUGUCCCCCAAGAGAAAUCCCCCCAGAGGAUGUCCCCAUCAGAAGAAUGUCCCUUGGAGGAUAAGCCCCGGAGGGGCCACGUGUCCACAGGGGCCUCUCUCCCUAAGCUGGGGUGCCGAGUCUUAUAUAACCAGGAUGACAUGGGCAAGCCGUGGCUUCCUUCACCUUUGCCGCCAUCUCUCAGUUGUAAGAAGGCACUUAGGGGAGAGGACCACACGAAGCCUGGACCACCGGGAGGGUCACCCUGGGGACUGUUCAACACAGCUGAUGCCAGUUCAGCGCCUCCUCAGGGCCCUCUCUCUAAGCACUGGCAGAUAUGGGGCAACACAAAGUCACUUUCACCUGCCAUUUCCCAGCACCGCGGGUCCCUUGCUCAUCCACCUUUGACAUCUGCUGGCAGAUACACGGCAAGGUUGGUGACCUCUUGAAAUAAAAAUCAGGAGUGGCCA